rnacentral:rRNA from 1 species
GAUGAACGCUGGCGGCGUGCCUAAUACAUGCAAGUCGAGCGAACAGAUGAGGAGCUUGCUCCUCUGACGUUAGCGGCGGACGGGUGAGUAACACGUGGAUAACCUACCUAUAAGACUGGGAUCACUUCGGGAAACCGGAGCUAAUACCGGAUAAUAUAUUGAACCGCAUGGUUCAAUAGUGAAAGACGGUUUUGCUGUCACUUAUAGAUGGAUCCGCGCCGCAUUAGCUAGUUGGUAAGGUAACGGCUUACCAAGGCAACCAUGCGUAGCCGACCUGAGAGGGUGAUCGGCCACACUGGAAGUGAGACACGGUCCAGACUCCUACGGGAGGCAGCAGUAGGGAAUCUUCCGCAAUGGGCGAAAGCCUGACGGAGCAACGCCGAGUGAGUGAUGAAGGUCUUCGGAUCGUAAAACUCUGUUAUUAGGGAAGAACAAAUGUGUAAGUAACUAUGCACGUCUUGACGGUACCUAAUCAGAAAGCCACGGCUAACUACGUG